GAUGAACGCUGGCGGCGUGCCUAAUACAUGCAAGUCGAGCGAACAGAUGAGGAGCUUGCUCCUCUGACGUUAGCGGCGGACGGGUGAGUAACACGUGGAUAACCUACCUAUAAGACUGGGAUAACUUCGGGAAACCGGAGCUAAUACCGGAUAAUAUAUUGAACCGCAUGGUUCUAUAGUGAAAGACGGUUUUGCUGUCACUUAUAGAUGGAUCCGCGCCGCAUUAGCUAGUUGGUAAGGUAACGGCUUACCAAGGCAACGAUGCGUAGCCGACCUGAGAGGGUGAUCGGCCACACUGGAACUGAGACACGGUCCAGACUCCUACGGGAGGCAGCAGUAGGGAAUCUUCCGCAAUGGGCGAAAGCCUGACGGAGCAACGCCGCGUGAGUGAUGAAGGUCUUCGGAUCGUAAAACUCUGUUAUUAGGGAAGAACAAAUGUGUAAGUAACUAUGCACGUCUUGACGGUACCUAAUCAGAAAGCCACGGCUAACUACGUG
rnacentral:rRNA from 1 species